rnacentral:lncRNA from 10 species
GCCCUCGGCCUCGCUCUUGCGCACGGGACCACAAUGCUCCGCGCCGCUUGUCAUUGGGAGGCGCCGAAGGUGGAGAGGUCGGCUCGGAAGGAAAAGGUCGGCGCAGCGCAUGCCGGGUCUAGGGUUGGCGGGGCGAAGGGGUGGGGAGGGAAGGGGCGGGGAGGGGAGGGGAGGGGAAAGUGGGAGAGGGUGGACUCUGGCCGGUGUGAAGAGAGGCGGUCGGGCGGCUGCGCUGUGGGGGCCUGGGCGUGUACUUCGGAGGCCCGUCGGGCGCUUCCUUUAGACGGGAGGUCUAGCGGCCCUUUAAAAAGAGAAAAAUAACCUUCACUGUCGCAGCCUCACGCCACUACUUCCAUUUUCCUUUUGGGCGGGUCCGCGCAGUCUCGUAGGCGUGCGACUCCGGCCUCCGCCACCAACAGUCUCCGCCUAGCGCGCGGCUCUGGCGUUGAGCUGGCGGGGAAAGAGUGCACAGGAAGUCACGCUCCAUGGCUGUCCGCACCUGAGUGCUUUUUUCACCCUACAUUAUCUUGUUUAAAUCCCAGACCACUUGGUUUAUUUUUAUUUUUUCAAAUUACUUGGCAAACGCUAUCCAACUAGCAACGAGAAAUUGAAUUUCUAAAUGAGGUGUUGAAUCUAGACGGGGCGUGUUUUCAGGCUGCGCUGUGGUUUCUGCGAGACAAGGUUGGGGAGAAUCAGAUAGUGCAGGAGGAACUGAGUUAAAAUUUUAUCUUUAGGAUUUGAUGUGGGAACAUCCCACAUACCUGUUGAUUAACUCCUGUAUUUCUUCCUGUAAGAAAAUGCCACUGAGCUUCACUCGGAGUUUGUGUUGUGAAUAGGGUUUCUAAGUUUAAAGUCUUAACUAUUUGGAGGCCGGGCACGGUGGCUCACGCCUGUAAUCUCAGCACUUGGGGAGGUCCAGUGGGCCGAUCACUUGAGGUCAGGAGUUCGAGGGCAAGGGCAACAUGGCGAUACCCCGUCUCUACCAAAAAUACAAAAAUUAGCCAGGUUUGGUGGCGCGCCUGUAGUCCCAGCUACUCCCGAGGCUGAAGUGGGAGGAUGGCUUGAGCCCAGGAGGUGGAGGCUGCGGUGAGCUAGAUCUCGCUGCUGCACCCCAGCUUGGGCGAUAGUGCAAGACCUUGUCUCGAAAAUAAAAAAUAAAGUAAUAUCUAUUUGCCAAAGACCAUGGAGGCAAGUGAUUGUUAUGGGGCUCCCACGCUCAGCAUACUGCAUUGCACAAGAAUAUUGAUUAUAGUAGGCAGUUUUUGUAACAGUUGCUAUUUCAUACUCACUUCCCUUGCUUUACGUUUUAUGUUGCUUACAAUUUCUGGAAUAGAUUGAUUUAAAGCAACAUUUUAAAAGUGCAAACCCUUGGCCAGGUGCAGUGUUUCCCGGCUGUAAUCCCAGCACUUUGGGAGGCCAAAGUGUUCUAGACCAGCCUGGGCAACAUAAUGAGACCCCACCUCUACAAAAGUUUUUUAAAAAAUUAGCUGGAUGUGGUGGCGUCUGUAGUCCUAGCUCCUUGGGAGUAUCGCUUCAACCUGAGAGGUGAGGUUGCACCCCAGCCUGGGUGACAGAGUGAGAUCCUGUCACACACACACACAAAUAAAAGAAGUGCCCAUCCUCAACAUCCAUUCAUGAUAAAAACUCAGCAAACUGGGAAUAAAGGAGAACUUCCUCAACUUGAUAAAGAGCAUCUACAAAAAUUCUGCAGCUAACAAUAGAUUGUUUCUGUUGUGAGAAACUACAUUCUUUCCACCUAAAGUCUGACACAAGGCAAGCAUGUCCCCUCUCACCAGUCUUUUCAACGUGGUACUGGGUGUUCUAGCUAACAAGAAAAGUAAAUUAAAAGUAUAUACAUAUUGGGAAGGAAGACAUAAAACUUCUUCUGUAAAAUUUUAGGAUAUAAGGUUGAAUACAAAAGUCAGUUUUCCUAUACACCAGCAAUGAACAAUUGGAAUUUAUAAUUUAAAAAUGCCAUUUACAAUAGUACCGUCUCCCAAAGUAAUACAGGUUGAGUAUCACGUAUCUGAAAUGCUUGAGACCAGAUGUGUUUUGGAUUUCAGGUUUUUUUAGGUUUUGAAAUAUUUGAAUUAUAAACUUAGCCAUUGAGCAUCCUAAUCCAAAAAUUCUAAAUCUGAAAUGCGCCAAUGAACAUUUCCUUUGAAUGUCAUGUGGGGGCUUGAAGUUUUGGGUUUUGGAGUGUUUCUGAUUCUCAGAUUUAGGGAUACUCAACCUGUACUUAGAUAUGGAUCUAGGCAGGGCGCAGUGGUUCACACCUAUACUCCCAGCACUUUGGGAGGCCAAGGUGGGAGAUUGCUUGAGGCCAGGAGUUCAAUACCAGCCUGGCCAACAUGGGGAAACCUUGUCUCUACUAAAAAUACAAAAAUUAGCUGGGUGCGGUAGUGCAUGCCUGUAAUCCCAGCUUCUUGGGAGGCUGGGACACGAGAAUUGCUUGGACCCAGGAGGCAGAGGUUGCAGUGAGCCGAGAUCACU